rnacentral:rRNA from 1 species
GACGAACGCUGGCGGCGUGCUUAACACAUGCAAGUCGAACGCAGUGGCGAACGGGUGAGUCACGCGUAAUCAACCUGCCCUUCAGCGGGGGACCACCGUUGGAAACGACUGCUAAUACCGCAUACUGAAGGAGGGGAUUGCGUCUGAUUAGCUGGUUGGCGGGGUAAAGGCACACCAAGGCGACGAUCAGUAGGGGUUCUGGAAGGAUGAUCCGCAACACUGGGACUGGGACACGGCCCAGACUCCUACGGUAGGCAGCAGGGGGGAAGUUGGGACAAUGGGCGAAAGCCUGAUCCAGCCAUGCCGCGUGUCGGAAGAAGGCCUUCGGGUUGUAAAGUUCUGUUAAUCGGGACGCGGUACCGGAAUAGAAAGCCACGGCUAACUACGUGCCAGCAGCCGCGGUAAUUC